rnacentral:rRNA from 1 species
CAGUAGCCGCGGGAAUACGGAGGGUGCAAGCGUUAUCCGGAUUUAUUGGGUUUAAAGGGUCCGUAGGCGGAUCUGUAAGUCAGUGGUGAAAUCUCACAGCUUAACUGUGAAACUGCCAUUGAUACUGCAGGUCUUGAGUAAAUUUGAAGUGGCUGGAAUAAGUAGUGUAGCGGUGAAAUGCAUAGAUAUUACUUAGAACACCAAUUGCGAAGGCAGGUCACUAAGAUUUAACUGACGCUGAUGGACGAAAGCGUGGGGAGCGAACAGGAUUAGAUACCCCGGUAGUCCCUGUCUCUUUACA